rnacentral:rRNA from 1 species
GACGGAGGGGGCUAGCGUUGUUCGGAUUUACUGGGCGUAAAGAGCACGUAGGCGGACUAGCAAGUUGGAAGUGAAAGCCCGAGGCUUAACCUCGGAACUGCUUUCAAAACUGCUAGUCUAGAGUGUAGUAGAGGAUGAUGGAAUUCCUAGUGUAGAGGUGAAAUUCUUAGAUAUUAGGAGGAACACCAGUGGCGAAGGCG